AUUGAACGCUGGCGGCAGGCCUAACACAUGCAAGUCGAACGAGUGGCGGACGGGUGAGUAAUGUCUGGGAAACUGCCUGAUGGAGGGGGAUAACUACUGGAAACGGUAGCUAAUACCGCAUACCAUCAGAUGUGCCCAGAUGGGAUUAGCUAGUAGGUGGGGUAAUGGCUCACCUAGGCGACGAUCCCUAGCUGGUCUGAGAGGAUGACGAGCAACACUGGAACUGAGACACGGUACAGCAUCCGACGGGAGGCAGCAGUGGGGAAUAUUGCACAAUGGGCGCAAGCCUGAUGCAGCCAUGCCGCGUGUAUGAAGAAGGCCUGAGGGUUGUAAAGCACUUUCAGCGAGGAGGCGUUACUCGCAGAAGAAGCACCGGCUAACUCCGUGCCAGCAGCCGCGGUAAUUC
rnacentral:rRNA from 1 species